GCAUCUCAAAGGCUCCAUAUUGGUUAACAACCUUUGAGAGACUGCACGCCACAUGAAACAACGCACACAGUGGGCCAUAAGUAGCUUUGAAAUGUCUUUCUAAAAUUGGUAUGGCUCACGUUUCGAUCUCAUAGAAAGUAAAUAAUUGUUCAAUUUAAUGCAGAAUUACUCAUCAAACGUGUUGGUCCAAGUAGAAUUAUCCAUGGCUCUUCCCAAGUUCAUAACAGAAGUAUGGGAGAUCUGUAGUCAAAUAGGCAUUAGUAGAAGUUGGCCCUCAUGUCAAUGCCACAACCAAUCAGAAAAGAUCUAGGAGGAUAUGGUGU
rnacentral:lncRNA from 1 species